rnacentral:lncRNA from 1 species
AUAUGUGCUUGUGGGCCACAGCUGGAGGAUGGCAAGCUUUCUGUUGUCCUCUGCCUAUGUGGAGUUGACAGGGUUUGGCCUGCAGAUGUGUCUGGACUUGAGCCCAGUGCUUUGGGGCCUUGAGACUCCAGCGACUGCACACCCGCUCUGUGCUGCGGCCAGGGAGGGUGAGAACCAUCGCUCCUUUGCCAGGUAACUCUUGGGAGCCUCUCCCCCUUCUGCAUAGAGGAAAUCCCAGUGUGUGACAGCCCUUAAGGUUCCUGUGGACUUUGUGUACCAAGGUGUCCAGUGCCACCAACACUGACCUGGGGCCUUUACAAAUGGUUGCUCUCCUCCAUCUUCCCAGGGCUGCGGUCCUGGUGUCUACUGCCGGCCGGCUGAGUCUGCGUGGGCUUUCUGUCUCUCAGCUCCCUUUCCCAGCCCACAGGGACAGAAGUACCAUCCACUUUCAAGUCCAGCUCCUUCCUAAGAGAUUCUUCCACCUUACUCUGCAGCUGCCUCUGGAAGAACUUUGGGCUGCUGGGGCUGAGCUGUCUGCUUGAUGCUGACAGACUCCUAGUGUCAGCUCCCAGGCCGCCUUAGAGCUGCUCAUUCCUGAAUGACUGGCUCCCCUGCCCUUUUAGACAAAGGCUGCUGCUUUCAGCCUUCUCCAAGGGAGAGCCUGGCUGGCUAACAGAGGGAGCCUGAGUCAGUCACAUCUGGCAGCUGGCAGCAAGCUCUUCAUCCCUCCACAGUGAGGAAGCUGGCAGCGAGCAGGUAGACCUGGAGACUGCACGGCUGCUGAUUGGUCUUCUAUCUCCUGAAGUUUACUCAUGUUCUUAAAACUCCUGGUGACUUUGUUCUUUUGCCAACGUAGAAAGCACAGUGGACGGGUUGUGUUUGUCCCAGCCCUCUCUGUAGGCUGAGCAGUGCAGCGGCGCCCACAGGUUUACACACAAGUUUGGUUUGGUUUCUUCUGUUCUGCACUUUGGAGUCCCUGGGUAUUCCACAUUACAAGUUGAUGUUAUAGGUGGGGGCUGGAAUUGUUGCCCUGGAUGUGGGGACCAAGGUACAAUCUAACCAUGGGCCCCCACAAGGCUUCCUGAAAUCAAAUGUUAGGUGUUGAGAGUAGCUGCAGUCUCGGGAUAACUUGUGAGUUCCCUGGGUCCUGGAGGGUGCAGGGUUUGUGGAACAGUAGUAGGGAUGGGGAGCUGGGCUGGGUUCAUCAGAAUGGGCGUGUCUGCCUUCACAGUGCUGUCCUAAGUAAAUAAAGGGAUUGGUG